rnacentral:rRNA from 1 species
GCGCAGCAGGCGAGAAACUUCACACUGUGCGAAAGCACGAUGAGGGAAUCCCAAGUGCUUGCACGUAAGUGUAAGCUGUUUCUCUGUCUAAAACGCAGAGAGAGUAAGGGCUGGGUAAGACGGGUGCCAGCCGCCGCGGUAAUACCUGCAGCUCAAGUGGUGACCGUUAUUAUUGGGCCUAAAACGUCCGUAGCCGGUUUAAUAAAUGCCUAGGUAAAUUGUGUAGCUUAAACUAUACGAAAUUCCGGGUAGACUGUUAAACUUGAGACCGGGAGCAGUUAGAGGUACUCCGUGGGGUAGAGGUGAAAUUCUGUAAUCCUAGGGGACCACCAGUGGCGAAGGCGUCUAACUAGAACGGGUCUGACGGUGAGGGACGAAGCCC